rnacentral:rRNA from 1 species
UGCAGUCGACGAAGUUAUUUGAGCUUGCUUAGAUAACUUAGUGGCGGACGGGUGAGUAACACGUGAGCAAUCUGCCUUUCAGAGGGGGAUACCGAUUGGAAACGAUCGUUAAUACCGCAUAACAUAGUAAAUUCGCAUGUUUUUACUAUCAAAGAUUUAUCGCUGAAAGAUGAGCUCGCGUCUGAUUAGGUAGUUGGUGAGGUAACGGCCCACCAAGCCGACGAUCAGUAGCCGGACUGAGAGGUUGAACGGCCACAUUGGGACUGAGACACGGCCCAGACUCCUACGGGAGGCAGCAGUGGGGAAUAUUGCACAAUGGAGGAAACUCUGAUGCAGCGAUGCCGCGUGAGGGAAGAAGGUUUUCGGAUUGUAAACCUCUGUGUACAGGGACGAUAAUGACGGUACCUGUUCAGAAAGCUCCGGCUAACUACGUGCCAGCAGCCGCGGUAAUACGUAGGGAGCGAGCGUUGUCCGGAAUUACUGGGUGUAAAGGGAGUGUAGGCGGGACGGCAAGUCAGAUGUGAAAUUUAGGGGCUCAACCCCUGACCUGCAUUUGAAACUGCUGUUCUUGAGUGAAGUAGAGGUAAGCGGAAUUCCUAGUGUAGCGGUGAAAUGCGUAGAUAUUAGGAGGAACAUCAGUGGCGAAAGCGGCUUACUGGGCUUUAACUGACGCUGAGGCUCGAAAGCGUGGGGAGCAAACA